UACGUAGGGGGCAAGCGUUAUCCGGAUUUACUGGGUGUAAAGGGAGCGUAGACGGCAGGGCAAGUCUGGAGUGAAAGGCAGGGGCCCAACCCCUGGACUGCUCUGGAAACUGUCCGGCUGGAGUGCAGGAGAGGUAAGUGGAAUUCCUAGUGUAGCGGUGAAAUGCGUAGAUAUUAGGAGGAACACCAGUGGCGAAGGCGGCUUGCUGGACGAUGACUGACGUUGAGGCUCGAAAGCGUGGGGAGCAAACAGG
rnacentral:rRNA from 1 species